AGAGUUUGAUCCUGGCUCAGGAUGAACGCUGGCGGCGUGCUUAACACAUGCAAGUCGAACGCACCUUCGGGUGAGUGGCGGACGGGUGAGUAACGCGUGGGAAUCUGCCCUUAGGAGGGGGAUAACGGCUGGAAACGGCCGCUAAUACCCCAUAUGCCGAGAGGUGAAACGAAUUUCGCCUGAGGAUGAGCCCGCGUCUGAUUAGCUAGUUGGUGGGGUAAGAGCCCACCAAGGCGACGAUCAGUAGCUGGUCUGAGAGGAUGAUCAGCCACACUGGGACUGAGACACGGCCCAGACUCCUACGGGAGGCAGCAGUGGGGAAUUUUCCGCAAUGGGCGAAAGCCUGACGGAGCAACGCCGCGUGAGGGAUGAAGGCCUCUGGGCUGUAAACCCCUUUUCUCAAGGAAGAAGACAUGACGGUACUUGAGGAAUAAGCCACGGCUAAUUCCGUGCCAGCAGCCGCGGUAAUACGGGAGUGGCAAGCGUUAUCCGGAAUUAUUGGGCGUAAAGCGUCCGCAGGCGGCUCUGUAAGUCUGUUGUUAAAGCGUGGAGCUCAACUCCAUUUCAGCAAUGGAAACUACAGGGCUUGAGUGUGGUAGGGGCAGAGGGAAUUCCCGGUGUAGCGGUGAAAUGCGUAGAUAUCGGGAAGAACACCAGUGGCGAAGGCGCUCUGCUGGGCCAUAACUGACGCUCAUGGACGAAAGCCAGGGGAGCGAAAGGGAUUAGAUACCCCUGUAGUCCUGGCCGUAAACGAUGAACACUAGGUGUCGGGGGAAUCGACCCCCUCGGUGUCGUAGCCAACGCGUUAAGUGUUCCGCCUGGGGAGUACGCACGCAAGUGUGAAACUCAAAGGAAUUGACGGGGGCCCGCACAAGCGGUGGAGUAUGUGGUUUAAUUCGAUGCAACGCGAAGAACCUUACCAGGGUUUGACAUCCUGCGAAUCCCUUGGAAACUUGGGAGUGCCUUCGGGAGCGCAGAGACAGGUGGUGCAUGGCUGUCGUCAGCUCGUGUCGUGAGAUGUUGGGUUAAGUCCCGCAACGAGCGCAACCCACGUCUUUAGUUGCCAGCAUUCAGUUGGGCACUCUAGAGAGACCGCCGGUGAUAAACCGGAGGAAGGUGUGGAUGACGUCAAGUCAUCAUGCCCCUUACAUCCUGGGCUACACACGUACUACAAUGCUACGGACAGAGGGCAGCAAGCUCGCGAGAGUUAGCAAAUCCCAUAAACCGUGGCUCAGUUCAGAUCGUAGGCUGCAACUCGCCUACGUGAAGGAGGAAUCGCUAGUAAUCGCAGGUCAGCAUACUGCGGUGAAUACGUUCCCGGGCCUUGUACACACCGCCCGUCACACCAGGGAAGUUGGCCAUGCCCGAAGUCGUUACUCCAACCCUUAU
rnacentral:rRNA from 1 species